UUUUAAAACUAUCCGCCUUCACGAAAACGCUUAUUGCACGAGAACUAGUGAAGCGAUUUCAAAGAAAAGUGUGGGGUUUCAAAGAUAAAACUCCAAACCUAUCCAUAGAUUCAUUUUUGUAAGUAACCAAUUCGGUUUCUUUCGUAGAAACAACGGUAAAUAUUGGCUUA